rnacentral:rRNA from 1 species
GACGAACGCUGGCGGCGUGCCUAAUACAUGAAAGUGGAACGCACAGUCCAUACAGUAUCUUGCUACACCAUCAACUGUGAGUUGCGAACGGGUAAGUAACGCGUAGGUAACCUGCCUGGUAUCGGGGGAUAACUAUUGGAAAGGAUAGCUAAUACCGCAUAAUAUUGAUUAUUUCAUGAUAAUUGUUUGAACGAUGCUAUUCCAUCACUACCAGAUGGACCUUCGUUGUAUUAGCUAGUAGGUGAGGUAACGGCUCACCUAGUCGACCAUACAUAGCCGACCUGAGAGGGUCAUCGGCCAACCUUGGACUGAGCCACGGCCCAGACUCCUCCGGGAGGCAGCUGUAGAGAAUCUUCGGCAAUAGACGACAGUCUGCACGAGCCACGCCGCGUGAGUGAAGACGCUUUUCGGCUCGUGAAGCUCUGUUGUAAGAGAAGAACGGGUGUGAGAGUGGAUAGUUCACACUGUGACGGUAUCUUACCAGAAAGGGCCGGCUAACUACGUG